UCUUGCCUGAUUCCAGGCUGAGGUAGUAGUUUGUACAGUUUGAGGGUCUAUGAUACCACCCGGUACAGGAGAUAACUGUACAGGCCACUGCCUUGCCUGGGAC
ensembl:miRNA